CGUGGAACUGAAUUUAAUUCUCUGUGUCACAAUUUUCGCAGCUGUCUUUAAUGCCCAGGACAAACCAACAUACAAAUAAACGCAAUUGAACAGAAUAAGAAAACGGUAAUAAGUCGGGAAAAUCAAAGUGCAAAUCUGAACGCCAAAAAAAGCAGAGAGUGCGAGCAAGACAGCGCAUGCUGGGGCGCCGCAGGAGCUGUAGAAGAAGAAGCAGUGAGAGUGAAGUUAACUGGAAGUGGAGUGGAAAAAGAAGAGCGAAAAGAGAGCCAGCGAAAACAACAAAGAACAACCAGUCGACUCCAAAAAUUCGCCCUUUCAAUCUACCUCCAAACACGAGCAAAAUCGUCAUUUUAAGAAGCACAAUAACUAAAUGAAUAAACAAAAUAUUCACAUAAAGGCGGCGACAAACAACUCAACUCAAGUAAAACGGAACAGCGCCAUCUGGAGUAGGCAGAUAAAAGCAGCUGACAGACAAUGUACAAA
rnacentral:sRNA from 1 species